UAACUUAUCAGAAGCCAGUUGAUAGUUUGAAUCUGGAGACUCUACAUUGUCUUGAUGAAGCAUUUCAGAAUCUGCAGAUAUGUGGUUGUCUAUAUCCUGUUCAUGAAACAAACCUGAAUCAGUUACACCCUUUUCUGAUCCAAUAUCCAGAGAAAAGUUCGAAUCCACAGAAAACUCAGUCAUUGUAGGUCCAUUUUGAUCAACAAAACUUGGCAUAACUGCAGAUAACUCCUCUGCAGUAUCAUCUAUAUCUUCAGAUUUCUCGGACCUCAUUUCAUUUUUGACUUCCACAUGCAGUUCGGAAGAGGCUGCUUGAAUUUUCUCAUGAUUAGAAG
rnacentral:lncRNA from 1 species